rnacentral:lncRNA from 1 species
GAGGAUGAAGCUGGGAGUGUAAUCAGAAAUGGCGGUGCCAACAUUGAAGUUGAGGUGCUUUCCCACCGCACUCCGAUUCCACUCUAACCUUCCUUCAUUCUCCACUCUCCGCCCUCUCCUCUGCCACGCCGCCACCACCGCCAACAGAAACAACAAGAGGAGUAAGAGUAAUAAUAACACCGCUCCUCCUCCUUCUUCUCCUCUUCCCAAACCACCAGCUGGAUUCGCUCUAUUUUUAAUUAAGUAAAAAGUAAUUUUAUGAAAUCAAUUAUUUCCAAUUAAUUUUGUGAGGAUGAAGCUGGGAGUGUAAUCAGAAAUGGCGGUGCCAACAUUGAAGUUGAGGUGCUUUCCCACCGCACUCCGAUUCCACUCUAACCUUCCUUCAUUCUCCACUCUCCGCCCUCUCCUCUGCCACGCCGCCACCACCGCCAACAGAAACAACAAGAGGAGUAAGAGUAAUAAUAACACCGCUCCUCCUCCUUCUUCUCCUCUUCCCAAACCACCAGCUGGAUUCGUCGUCGAC